rnacentral:misc_RNA from 1 species
AACUCAUGGACCGCAAUCGAUUUUCUGCUAGGGCCCUAUUUACGUCAUGAUAGUCAGCAAAAUUAUAAGUACUGUGAGUAGAGAACACAGUCUACCUUCUCACAUCUGAGCUUCUUGACGUUGAAGGGUCCUUGGCAUGGAGGCCGGGGAAGGGUCCCUACCCAUCGACGAUGGAGGUGGCAACCCGUCUAGUUUCCUAAACCUGACUGGGAGCGAGGCUUACCCCAAGCGGGCAUUGGUAUCGGACGACCCAUCUCUGGCUGUGCCGUUCCCGUGCCUACCUGGUGAAGCGGUGGAGUUCCUGGGCCGAUCGACACAAGGGGUUGUGGCUCUUUCGUCGUACCGCUUCUUUUUGGCAGGUCCCGAUCAGCAGCUCAACCUACCCCUUGGACUACUAGAGACAGUUGAAUGUCGCGACAUCUUUUACCUCCACCUAAUCUGCAAGGAUGCCCGCUCUUUCAGGUGUUCGUUUGCCACAAAUGAAGACUGUCAGAAGUGGCACAAGCGCCUCACCAAUGCAAUCCAGUUGCCGAACCGGCUGGACGACCUGUUUGCCUUCCGUUUCUACCUCUACUGCCGUGAAGAACGUUACGAUGACCUUUUUUGCUUUCUUAAGAGUGAUAGGCCAAGUUUAGACAAAGACACUUCCCUCCUGCACCAAGAAUGCAAACGCAUGGGCUUUGACACAGACCUCGGGGGCACGUGGAAGCUCACAAGCAUUAAUGAAAAAUUCAAGUUCUGCAACAGCUAUCCGCGCUACUUAAUUGUGCCCGCUUCGGUACCGGACCAGGACCUUGAAACUGUGGCCAGUUUUCGGUACUCUCGGAGGAUCCCCACUGUUGUUUGGAGGCACCACCUGUACGGUACAGUGAUAGCACGCUCGGCGCAGCCAGAGGUUGGCUGGCUGGGUUGGCGGAGUCCUCAAGAUGAGACCCUGAUCCAGGCCAUAGCAGAUGCUUGCAGCAUUGACCCAGGCCCUGCUAUCUGUAACGGACUCGACAGCCUGCCCGACGACCAGAGGCUCGACUCGGAUGCAUCCGACUUGUCUCUACUGAAUGGUGGUCUUACUGCCAGCAUGCACUUCGAGCCACGGCCGGCGCCACAGCGCAAGAUGCUCAUCCUCGAUGCUCGUUCCUACACUGCCGCUGUGGCCAACCGAGCCAAAGGUGGUGGCUGCGAGUGCCCAGAGUACUACCCCAACUGCGAGGUGCAGUUCAUGAGCUUAGCCAACAUCCACACCAUCCGCAAGAGUUUUCACGCAGUGCGUGCCCUCUGCUCCUCCACAGCUGAUCAGUCUUGCUGGAUGUCAACUUUGGAGUCCAGCAAGUGGCUGCACCACCUGUCGGGUUUGCUGAAAGCUGCCCUCGUCGUCGCCAAUGCCGUCGACCUGGAACGGCGACCAGUGCUUGUGCAUUGCUCAGACGGUUGGGAUCGCACACCUCAGAUUGUUGCCUUGGCCGAACUUAUUUUGGACCCCUACUACCGUACCAUUGAGGGCUUCCAAGUGCUGGUGGAGAAGGAGUGGCUCGAGUUUGGGCACAAGUUUGGAGAUCGCUGUGGCAACAGUGCCACAGCUGAUGAUCUGGGUGAACGCUGCCCAGUGUUCCUUCAGUGGCUUGACUGUGUGCAUCAGCUGCUGGCGCAAUUUCCUUGUGGCUUCAAGUUCAACCAGCAGUACUUGGUCAGGCUAGCACAGCACACUUACUCGGGCCUGUUUGGAGAUUUUCUGGGGAACAGCGCCAUGGAACGGCAGCAAGAGGCAGUAGCCACUAGAACUUUCUCGGUGUGGACCUUCCUGAAGGCCAGGCCAGAACAGUACCUCAACCACCUCUACAGCCACACAGACCAGGUACUGAGGCCUCGGUGCCAGGUGCGAGAUCUGCACUUCUGGAGUGAGGUGUAUCUGCAGCCGUCUACAGGACUGCUGUCGCAAGGCCCACCUUCCACACCUCCAUCGGAGGCCCCAGAACCAGCAGAGGAAAAUCCACCUGGACCAGUCGGCAGCAGCGACACGACAUCGAACCUCGUCAAGACCAAGUCUGUGGAUUCUCUGUUUGCAGGCAGUCAGUCGGAGCAAUCUCCACCACCUGAAAAGCACCAGCGGCGGCUGAGCGAUCCAAGCCUAAAGGGUCUGCAGUCGGAACUGCACAAUGGGCACGACGAGACAGCCACGCCAUUGGCUCAACGGCGCAGCCUGAGCAACGGAGCCCUGAACGGCAGCCACGAGGAAGUGCAAGCAGAUACUAAAAGCUUGCCAGUUGCAGCAAAUCCAGAUGAACACGGUGCACAAGAGACUGAGCCACAGCAGCAGCAGCAACAAGCGGUGUCCUCCAUCGAGGAUUCAACCGACACGCUUGUCAGUGAAGUUGGUGAAACAUGCCCCUCGGACGUGGCAGAGGCUGUGGAAGCACCAAAUGAAAAGGACUGUGAAAACGAUGCCGCAGAGGGGAUGACAUCGUCUGCUUUGUCGCGGCAGACGCACCUCCUCAGCAGCACGGCCAGCACGAGUACGACGGACAUUAGCAGUUCGGCCGUGUACUUGUUCCCUGAGGUUGCAGGGGAAGACCUGCCAUCUAACAAGUGCCCAUACUGGCUGUCCCACAAGAAUGGCGAGACCAUGCUGGCUGCGGCCCGCAGCUCGCUGGCGCGGGCGGCAGCCAUUAAUGGCCGGGGUUCCCAUUACUCUACACCCCUGCACUCCAGAACUCCCAGUUCCGGCUAUCCAGCCACUCCCUGUGAUGACAGGCUCCUGCUAGAUCCUGUGGCAUCCAGAACAACUGCAGCACCCCUGCAGCAACAGCAGCAGUUUGAUGUGGACGGAUUGGCAUGUCCUGUCGACGCUGUCCAGCAAAGGUUGCAUCAAAUGGUUCUAGAAAACGAGGCGAAAAUAGAAAGUCUAGAAAACGAACUUCGCAGGGUCAGGCACGCGCUAGAGCGCUCUCUACUCGUCAACGGCAAAGACGCGUUGGAGUCUCUAGAAGAUGCUCGGGGAUCCUCCGUGGGGCGGGUGCCAGGACGGUAGCAGCUCGUCGGAGUUGAGCUGGGAGCAGGUGGACGAACGCGAUGCCCGCGCCACACUCUGGGUGCCAGACCACGCGGCCUCACACUGCAGGGGCUGCAAUGCCGAGUUUUGGAUUGGGCGACGUAAGCACCACUGCAGGACCAAACCUAAAUGUCCCUGGUAGGCUUUCUACGGAGUGCCAAGGAUCUCUGAAGCAAGUCCUGGCAAUUAAAAGGGGCCCU